UUGGUUAGGCCUUGCCAGAGCGCAUGUUUAUUAAUCAGCAGAAGUGCCACACACAGAAAAAAAAAGACACAGGUUUGUUUCUCUGCGCUGUUCGUUUUCGCAUUUCUUGGGAUGAGCGAGAGAGAUGUACGUAGAGACAGGGGGAGGAGGGGGCAGAAUGCAUGUAAACAGUGCAUGUACCGUUUUGGGGCGGCCGGUUUUUUUGCAUUGUGAAAAGUCUAGCCUGUGAUAUGUGUGUGUAUUUAUGACUGCGCAGCCAAUAUGGCCGUGUGUUUGGGAGUGUGUGUGCAUGUUGUCUCAGCAGCUAAAGCUGGCGACCCAUCGGCAUUGGCGAGAAUGUGUCGAUUAUUAUGUGCAUACACGUUUCUUGUACAGGGUGUGUGUGUGUCUUUGGUUGUAGAUGUGUAUGCGAGUGUUCUCGGCGUUGUUGUUGCGUACAUAUGAAUGAUGCGCGCGCUAUAAUGUUGUUAUAGAUACAUUUUGGUAUCAAAUAACCUGAAAUUACAACAAGCAUGGCAUACAAAAACUUAUACACGUGUACACAUACACAUAAAUACAUAUAAGUAUGCAUGUGUUUCCUAUGCGUCUGUAUGCUUGUUUAUAGCAGUGUUUGUCACAAGUGAAGGCCGGCGACAGCAACAGCAGCAACAACAACAGCUACGAAAACACAAGAUUGUGGAAGCAUUGCCAGCUGGCGCAAUUUCAGCAAUGGAUGUUAUUUGUCGCUUCUUCUGCUUCUGGUGCUUUUGCGCUCUUUUAUAUGGCGUCGUCGUCGACAACGACAUAAAUUGAAACUAGAUUUACAUCAUGGCGUAGUAUUUGUUGUUUUUGUGGCACACAGUAACACACACACUCUCACAGAGAACGCGGCGUUGUAUAUGAAAAAUUUGUGUAAUCACAACGCAGCAGCAACAUAACUUUUGCGCGUUUUUCGGCUUGCCCUUUGUCGUACUAUCUCGUUCUAGCCUUCGUUUCACAAUAUCAAGCAGCAAUUAAUAAAUGCAUAUUCGUGCAUAUGUAUGCCCAUAAAAUAAAACACUUACCUGGUUUGUUUUCCGUGCACGUCUUUCCAAUUCUAUUCUCUUCUCCAUUAUGUCGGUAGUGUGGCUUUUUGCUUUUGAAAAUUUGCUGACUUAAGCUGCACUUGUUUUGAAUUAUUUGGUAAAAGCGAUUUUUCUUUCGCUUGUACGUCUCCCAACCAACAACCAAGCUCGCAGAAA